GCAGUAGCCACGGGAAUACGAAGGGUGCAAGCGUUACUCGGAAUUACUGGGCGUAAAGCGUGCGUAGGUGGUGGUUUAAGUCCGUUGUGAAAGCCCUGGGCUCAACCUGGGAAUUGCAGUGGAUACUGGGUCACUAGAGUGUGGUAGAGGAUAGUGGAAUUUCCGGUGUAGCAGUGAAAUGCGUAGAGAUCUGGAGGAAUACCGGUGGCGAAGGCGGCCCCCUGGACAAAGACUGACGCUCAGGUGCGAAAGCGUGGAGAGCAAACAGGAUUAGAUACCCCUGUAGUCCCUGUCUCUUAUAC
rnacentral:rRNA from 1 species